rnacentral:rRNA from 1 species
CGUAGGGGACGAGCGUUGUCCGGAAUUACUGGGCGUAAAGGGCGCGCAGGCGGAUAUUUAAGUCAGCUGUAAAAGGCAUGAGCUCAACUCAUGUAUGCGGUUGAAACUGGGUAUCUAGAGUGCUGGAGAGGUAGGCGGAAUUCCCGGUGUAGCGGUGAAAUGCGUAGAUAUCGGGAAGAACACCAGUGGCGAAGGCGGCUUACUGGCCAGCAACUGACGCUGAGGCGCGAAAGCCAGGGGAGCAAACGGGAUUAGAUACCCCGGUAGUCCUGGCAGUAAACGAUGUAUGCUGGGUGUGAGACUAGCGAUAGUUUCGUGCCGAAGUUAACGCGAUAAGCAUACCGCCUGGGGAGUACGGUCGCAAGAUUGAAACUUAAAGGAAUUGACGGGG